UGCAGAUGCUGGCAAUCGUAGUGUUGGUAGGACUCCAUCUUUCAGCUUUACUUUAUUCUUAGGUACUGGAAUCCCCAGCAAUUCGUACAUCAGAUUCCUCUCAUAGUCGGAGUCCUUGAAGUGGAGGCUACAAAUUCUUGAAUAAGCAGAAACAGGCGUCCUUCGAUUACAUAAAUCAGCCCACUUUUGCCUUUGCUGUUCAUCUUUGGGAAACCGAUGUAAAAGUACACCAGUUUCAUUGCCAAAACAACCACUAACUGCACACGUGUUGGGCAUGGCGUCGAUAGGGGAAGUAUCGCGAUGGCGAGCGGACACGACCGCAGUCCCACACAACCAUGACUCCAGAGCGGCUGAGCUCAGUAUACCCCACGAUACGUCAUAACGGUUGAUGCGCGGGAAGGGACGGUUUUAUUCAUAAGAGUGUCCCAACAUGUUACUACAUAGACAUUGGCUGUGGCGGAGCACGGCCACGCUGUCUUCUUGGUGUAUUACGCGUUGUACACUUGUUUCUUUUGGGAUAUUAAUGCGAGAUUACACAUUCAACUCUUCAUAUGAAAUUAAAAUUCAAGAAUGGUAUGAAUAAUCAGAAUAACUGACACCCAAAACCUGAUGAAGUUUUACUUAGGCGGAUCUGUUGUCAGUCCACGGGUUCCUUGUGUUUUGGUUUGUUUAUAAACCGAGGACGGAUUCAUGCAGGUGUUCCAUUUACCCCGAGCAAACCCAAACACAUUUCAGGAUUCAACCCGAACCUGGAUCCGGGUUUUGUAUUUAAUAUGACAACAUGCCAACACCUGAUCAGCUAAGCAUAUAGAGUGUGUGUGUGUGUGUGUGUGUGUGUGUGUGUGUGUGUGUGUGUGUGUGUUCAUUUUACGUGCUAUAUAUGUGUGUGUUUGUGUGUGUGUGUGUGUGUGUGUGUGUGUGUGUGGGGGUUAGUGCUGAGUUGUGUUGUCUUACUACACGACCUAGUUAGUAACACUUUAAAGCAAAGGACAAAUACUACUGAAAAAUCACGAGCUGAAAAAACUGGUUACCAAUUUUCCAAUUAUAUCCAUUCAUUAUUAAUGAUGUUGAUUUAUUUUCAGCAGAUUCUUCUAUGCACGACCCACAACCACAACUCUCCAGACCCAAGGAAGACCCACAGGAUCCACAGCAGCCCAUCAUUGCCAGAGCUGACCCACAGCUGCCCUUUGCCAGAGCUGACCCACAACUGCCCUUUGCCAGAGCUGACCCACAACUGCCCUUUGCCAGGGCUGACCCACAACUGCCCUUUGCCAGAGCUGACCCACAACUGCCCUUUGCCAGAGGUGAACCACAACUGCCCUUUGCCAGAGGUGAACCACAACUGCCCUUUGCCAGAGGUGAACCACCCCCCAAAAAGAAUGGAGUUUGAGUAAAAGUAAAUAUUUUAAACGGCUUUAUGGUUAUGAGAGGAGUACUCUGAUGUACGUUCCAUGCUCUUUUCUUAGUCUCAAAAUGCAGUAUAAUGUUGCCGUUUCUCGGCCAGUUCUCGGCUUUUCCAUAGCCGAAGCCCACGGGUUAAACUAACUGGCAUACACUAACUUACUGCUCAAAUGGACCGCAGUUUCAAAACACCAAACACGAUAUUUCUCUACAACUACUGCUUCACUCCCACCGCCGCCCCCUACUCCAUCCCGCGCUGGGUAUGCCAAUGGCCCACACUGAAUGUCGAAUAUAUUUAAACUACCCCUACCCAACUUUACAUAACCUAACCUCUAACUGAGGGCUUGGCCCCCCUCGACCCCCCUCUUAACCAAGAGGGGCUUCGCUCCCACUGGACCCCCCCCUUCCCCCAUAUAAUAACGAUCUUGGGGGACCCGUGAGAAUUCAAGGGGUUCUGGUGUGGGAGCAUAUUUAAACUUUUCCAACCGAACUUUAUGACCUAACUAACUGAGGGGGGCUUCGCCCACCUCGACCCCUCUCCUAACCAAGGGGGGCUUGGCCCCCCCCUAGACCCCCCUCCCCCUACAUAACCGCGAACUGACUGUUACAAACGUAGCGCAGUGCCCGCGAUGGUGCGGAUGAUAAACAAUGCCCAGUGACAGUCAUGCCAAAAGGGCCGCGGUGGAAUUUAGCACCUCGCCGCUACCCCUCCAAGU